rnacentral:rRNA from 1 species
ACGAACGCUGGCGGCAUGCCUAACACAUGCAAGUCGAACGAGACCUUCGGGUCUAGUGGCGCACGGGUGCGUAACGUGUGGGAACCUGCCCUUAGGUUCGGAAUAACUCCCCGAAAGGGGUGCUAAUACCGGAUAAUGUCUUCGGACCAAAGAUUUAUCGCCUUUGGAUGGGCCCGCGUUGGAUUAGCUAGUUGGUAGGGUAAAAGCCUACCAAGGCGACGAUCCAUAGCUGGUCUGAGAGGAUGAUCAGCCACACUGGGACUGAGACACGGCCCAGACUCCUACGGGAGGCAGCAGUGGGGAAUAUUGGACAAUGGGCGAAAGCCUGAUCCAGCAAUGCCGCGUGAGUGAUGAAGGCCUUAGGGUUGUAAAGCUCUUUUACCCGGGAUGAUAAUGACAGUACCGGGAGAAUAAGCGCCGGCUAACUCCGUG